rnacentral:misc_RNA from 1 species
GAUGAAGAACGUAGCGAAAUGCGAUAAGUAAUGUGAAUUGCAGAGUUUUGUGAAUCAUCGAAUCUUUGAACGCACAUUGCGCCCGCCAGUAUUCUGGCGGGCAUGCCUGUUCGAGCGUCAUUUCAACCCUCAGGCCCCCAGUGCCUGGUGUUGGGGAUCGGCCCAGCCUUCCUGUAAGGCCGCCGGCCCCGAAAUCUAGUGGCGGUCUCGCUGUAGUCCUCCUCUGCGUAGUAGCACAACCUCGCAGUUGGAACGCGGCGGUGGCCAUGCCGUUAAACACCCCACUUCUGAAAGUUGACCUCGGAUCAGGUAGGAAUACCCGCUGAACUUAAGCAUAUCAAUAAGCGGAGGA